GUCAUUCCCCAAUUGAUAAAUGAUCAAAGGAUAUGAAUGAAUAAUUUUCAGAUGACAAAGUUAAAGCCAUUUAUGGUUAUAUGAAAAAAUGCUCUAAAUCACUAUUGAUUAGAGAAAUGCAAAUUAAAAUAACUCUUGAGGUAUCACCUCACACCUUUCAGAUCAACUAAGAUGACAGGGAAAGAUAAUGAUAAAUGUUGGAGGAGUUGUGGGAAAACUGGGACACUGAUGGGACACCAACAUUGGCUGGUGGAUUGUGAAAUGAUCCCAUCAUUCUGGAGUAUAAUUUGGAACUAUGCCAAAAGGGCUAUAAAACUGUGCAUACCCUUUGACCCAGGUUUGUAUCCCAAGGAAAACAUAAAGGAGGAGAAAGGACACCCAUGUGCAAAAAUAUUUGUAGCAGCUCUUUGUGGUGGCAAAGAAUUAAAAAGGAUUGGAUGUCCAUCAAUUGGGGAAUGGUAUAUGAAGUUAAUGGAAUAAUAUUUGUUCUAUAAAAAUUGAACAAGCUGAUUAUAGAAAGGCCUAGAAAUAUUUAAAAGAACUGAUGCUGAGCAAAACAAGCAAAAGCAGGGAUACAUUGUACAUAAUAACUGCAAGAAUGUGCUAAGAGCAACUAUGAAAGCCUUGGCUCUUCUCAGUGGUUCAGUGAUUCAAAGCAAUUCCAAUAGACUUUGGACAGAAAAUGCCAUCAGCAUCUGGAAAAAGAACUAAGGAGACUGAAUAUAAAUCAACACAUGCUAUGUUCACUUCUUUUCUCUUUUUUUUAUCUUUCCCAUGGUUUUUCCCUUUUGCUGCUUUUUUUCUCCCCAACAUGAUUCAUCAAGCAAAUUUAAAAAUAAAUUUACUAGAAAAAAAUAAAAUAAAACCCCUCAAUUUAUCAUCCUGUAUCUCUCCUCCUUUUCAUGGACAGACUCUUAGAAACAAUUCCCUACACUCACUGCCUCCACUUCUUCAGCACUAGCUACUUCACAUCUUUUGCAAUAUGGCUUCCAACCGACCACUAUUC
rnacentral:lncRNA from 1 species